UUGUGGAGGAGGACGCCGAAGGUGGGGCUAAUGACUGGGGUGAAGUCGUAACAAGGUAGCCGUACCGGAAGGUGCGGCUGGAUCACCUCCUAACAGGGAGACAACAAAAUGUUUAAUAUUAUUAUUUUGUCACCUUAGGUCGAUCGGUAUCUCACGUUUUUAAUUUAUUAAGAAUUUCAUUUCCUAAGUUUUUCUAGGUCACACCCAUUAUUUUUCCUGGGCCAUUAGCUCAGGUGGUUAGAGCGCACCCCUGAUAAGGGUGAGGUCCCUGGUUCAAGUCCAGGAUGGCCCAUAUCUCUAUGUUGGGGGUAUAGCUCAGUUGGUAGAGCGCCUGCUUUGCAAGCAGGAUGUCAGCGGUUCGAGUCCGCUUACCUCCACUGAUUACCACCUCUUCCAUAACCGGUAGAAAGGAAAUGUUUUGAGUUGUGAUCAAAUUCUGAAAGAAUUCAGCUUCCUAAUGAAAUCAUUAAGAUGCUGGACUCAUUGAAUUAAUUUCAUUGUUUUCAGAGAACCUUGACAACUGCAUAGAUUAUUUUUAAAGACAAUAAGCAUCUUUAAUGAUGCAGAUUUAUUAUUUGUGCGAAUGCAUUAAUAACAAUUCUAUUAAGCUGAUGCUUCAAUUUUGAAGUUAUUGGUCAAGCUACAA
rnacentral:misc_RNA from 1 species